rnacentral:rRNA from 1 species
AGUGAACGCUGGCGGUAGGCCUAACACAUGCAAGUCGAACGGCAGCACAGAGGAGCUUGCUCCUUGGGUGGCGAGUGGCGGACGGGUGAGGAAUACAUCAGAAUCUACUCUGUCGUGGGGGAUAACGUAGGGAAACUUACGCUAAUACCGCAUACGACCUACGGGUGAAAGCAGGGGACCUUCGGGCCUUGCGCGAUUGAAUGAGCCGAUGUCGGAUUAGCUAGUUGGCGGGGUAAAGGCCCACCAAGGCGACGAUCCGUAGCUGGGCUGGGAGGAUGAUAAGCCACACUGGAACUGAGACACGGUCCAGACUCCUACGGGAGGCAGCAGUGGGGAAUAUUGGACAAUGGGCGCAAGCCUGAUCCAGCCAUACCGCGUGGGUGAAGAAGGCCUUCGGGUUGUAAAGCCCUUUUGUUGGGAAAGAAAUCCAGCUGGCUAAUACCCGGUUGGGAUGACGGUACCCAAAGAAUAAGCACCGGCUAACUUCGUGCCAGCCGCCGCGGUAA